AAGGUGCAGCUUCUUCUCCAAGAAAACACCAAAUGGCGGAUGACCCCGGUGCAGCGGCAGGGCCCGGAGGCCCCGGGGGCCCUGGAAUGGGAGGCCGCGGCGGCUUCCGUGGAGGCUUCGGCAGCGACAUUCGGGGCCGGGGUCGCGGCCGGGGCCGGGGCCGGGGCCGCGGAGCUCGCGGAGGCAAGGCCGAGGACAAGGAGUGGAUGCCUGUCACCAAGCUGGGCCGCCUGGUUAAGGACAUGAAGAUCAAAUCCCUGGAGGAGAUCUAUCUGUUCUCCUUGCCCAUCAAGGAGUCUGAGAUUAUUGAUUUUUUCCUGGGGGCAUCUCUCAGAGAUGAGGUUUUGAAGAUUAUGCCGGUGCAAAAGCAGACCCGAGCUGGCCAGCGGACCAGGUUCAAGGCGUUUGUUGCCAUCGGGGACUACAAUGGCCACGUCGGUCUGGGUGUUAAGUGCUCCAAGGAGGUAGCCACUGCCAUCCGAGGGGCCAUCAUCCUGGCCAAGGGUUUGGACUCGGCCUCAGUACAGGCCAUGGCUGAGCCCAAGCAGGUGGCCAGCAUGGAACAGGCCUUGGAGGAUGAUGGGAUGAGGGGCAUCGACAGUCCAGGAAAAGAGGCCAAGCAAAUGGAGACUAACAUGCUGGUGACGGAGGCCGUGGACAGACAGCAACAGAGAUGGCUCAGCAGCUCCUCCUCCUACAGCAAGGACAUCGACAGACACCCCAUUGCCAACGGGACCUGGGAGCACACUCCACGGAGCCCUGGACAUUUCACAAGAGUGAUAAUAGACCCUCCUUUGUAG